rnacentral:rRNA from 1 species
AUUGAACGCUAGCGGGAUGCCUUACACAUGCAAGUCGAACGGAGUGGCGAACGGGUGAGUAAUGUAUCGGAACGUGCCCAGUAGCGGGGGAUAACUACGCGAAAGCGUAGCUAAUACCGCAUACUAUUGGAGCGGCCGACAUCGGUUUAGCUAGUUGGUGGGUUAACGGCUCACCAAGGCGACGAUCCGUAGCUCGUUUGAGAGGUCGACCAGCCACACUGGUACUGAGACACGGCCCAGACUCCUACGGGAGGCAGCAGUGGGGAAUUUUGGACAAUGGGGGAAACCCUGAUCCAGCCAUCCCGCGUGUGCGAUGAAGGCCUUCGGGUUGUAAAGUACUUUCAGCGAGGAGGCGUUACUCGAAGAAGAAGCACCGGCUAACUCCGUGCCAGCAGCCGCGGUAAUAG